UACGAAGGGUGCUAACGUUGUUCGGAAUCACUGGGCGUAAAGCGCGCGUAGGCGGCUUUUCAAGUAAGGGGUGAAAUCCCCAGGCUUAACCUGGGAAUUGCCUUUUAAACUGUAAAGCUAGAGUAUUGGAGGGGAUAGCGGAAUUGCUAAUGUAGAGGUGAAAUUCGUAGAUAUUAGCAGGAACACCGGUGGCGAAGGCGGCUAUCUGGACAAUUACUGACGCUGAAGUGCGAAAGCGCGGGGAUCAAACAGG
rnacentral:rRNA from 1 species